UACGGGGGGAGCAAGCGUUGUUCGGAAUCACUGGGCGUAAAGGGCGUGUAGGCGGUUCGGUAAGUGGGAUGUGAAAUCCCCGGGCUCACCCCGGGACCUGCAUCCCAAACUGCUGAGCUUGAGUACAGGAGAGGGUGGGGGAAUUCCAGGUGUAGCGGUGAAAUGCGCAGAUAUCAGGAGGAACACCUAUUGCGAAGGCAGCUCGCUGGGACGUAACUGACGCUGAGACGCGAAAGCGUGGGGAGCAAACAGG
rnacentral:rRNA from 1 species